UACGUAGGGGGCAAGCGUUGUCCGGAUUUAUUGGGCGUAAAGAGCGUGUAGGCGGCUAGGUAGGUCCGUUGUGAAAACUCGAGGCUCAACCUCGAGCUGUCGAUGGAAACCAUCUGGCUAGAGUCCGGAAGAGGAGAGUGGAAUUCCUGGUGUAGCGGUGAAAUGCGCAGAUAUCAGGAGGAACACCGGUGGCGAAGGCGGGUCUCUGGGCCAUAACUGACGCUGAGGAGCGAAAGCGUGGGGAGCGAACAGG
rnacentral:rRNA from 1 species